rfam:TPA: Bos taurus chromosome 12, whole genome shotgun sequence.
UCCCUCGGGUCCAGUGGUCAGGACCCUGUGCUUCCAAUGCAGGGGGCCUGGGUUCGAUCCCUGGUCAGGGAA